rnacentral:rRNA from 1 species
AUUGAACGCUGGCGGCAGGCCUAACACAUGCAAGUCGAGCGGAGCGGCGGACGGGUGAGUAAUGCCUAGGAAUCUGCCUGGUAGUGGGGGAUAACGUCCGGAAACGGGCGCUAAUACCGCAUACUAUCAGAUGAGACUAGGUCGGAUUAGCUAGUUGGGGGGGUAAAGGCCUACCAGGGCGACGAUCCGUAACUGGUCUGCGAGGAUUAUCAGUCACGCUGGAACUGAGACACGGUCCAGACGCCGACGUGAGGCAGCGGUGGGAAAUAUUGGACAGUGGGCUAAAGGCUUAUCCAGCCAUGCCGCGUGUGUGAAGAAGGUCUUCGGAUUGUAAAGCACGUUAACUUGGGUGGCGUUAGCAACAGAAUAAGCACCGGCUAACUUCGUGCCAGCCGCCGCGGUAAUAC